UUGUUCCUUUUUUUUUUUGUUAAGAUCAAUUUUAUUUUAAUUUUUAUUGACCUUCCAGUGACGCUUGGAAGGUUUUACUUGAUAAUGUGUCAAACUUAACUGUAAAAUCUUUAUGCAAUACACGAUGGGAGAGUCGAAUAAAAAGUGUCAAAGCUAUUAGAUUUCAAGCUCCUCAAAUAAGGUUGGCUUUGUUAGAAUUAUGUGAAUCUUGUGAUGAUGCCAAAUCAAAGAGUGAAGCGGAAAGCUUGUGUUACAGGUGACUUUGCCAGACAAGUUGAUGUCCGCAAUCGAGAUUCUUGAGUUUGUCAAAGUUGCAGAUUGCUACCCAACGGUUUCUAUUGCUUAUCGGAUUCUAUUGACUAUAGAGGUGUAUUAAUUGACAUUAGUAUUUUUGUACUCAUAUAUAAUAUUUAAAAUUCACUUAUAAAAAUUUAUGUUAACUUCUAAAUUUAA